rnacentral:rRNA from 1 species
AGUGGCGAACGGGUGAGUAACACGUGAGUAACCUGCCCUUGACUUUGGGAUAACUUCAGGAAACUGGGGCUAAUACCGGAUAGGAGCUCCUGCUGCAUGGUGGGGGUUGGAAAGUUUCGGCGGUUGGGGAUGGACUCGCGGCUUAUCAGCUUGUUGGUGGGGUAGUGGCUUACCAAGGCUUUGACGGGUAGCCGGCCUGAGAGGGUGACCGGCCACAUUGGGACUGAGAUACGGCCCAGACUCCUACGGGAGGCAGCAGUGGGGAAUAUUGCACAAUGGGCGGAAGCCUGAUGCAGCAACGCCGCGUGCGGGAUGACGGCCUUCGGGUUGUAAACCGCUUUCGCCUGUGACGAAGCGUGAGUGACGGUAAUGGGUAAAGAAGCACCGGCUAACUACGUGCCAGCAGCCGCGGUGAUACGUAGGGUGCGAGCGUUGUCCGGAUUUAUUGGGCGUAAAGGGCUCGUAGGUGGUUGAUCGCGUCCGAAGUGUAAUCUUGGGGCUUAACCCUGACGUGCUUUCGAUACGGGUUGACUUGAC